rnacentral:lncRNA from 1 species
CUCAACUCGGGGCAGCAGCAGGAGCUCUGACUGCCCUUGGGUCCUGUCCCCAUGCAGCAGCGGCAGCAGCUCUUCACUGCCCAUGGGUCCUGUCCCCAUGCUAUUCCAUACUAUUCUCUAAAUAAAAAAGCACUACUGCCAGUCCUUGAGAGUCCAAGAAAUCUUUCUUUCGACUCUUCGGCUCGCCAUCCCCGCAUCAUGACCACCAGGUCUAGAAGUCAGAAUUCUAACAUCAAGAUGUUGACAGAGCAGUAUUCCUUCUGGAGCUUUCAGAAGACAACCUGGGAACCCGUUUCCUUGCCUUUUCCAGCGUCCAGAGGCUGUCUGUCUUCCUUGGCUCAUGGCUCCUUCCUGCAUUUUCAAAAGAUGGCCUUAGCUGCAGAGAGAUGCCUUGCUCAAAAGCGUGACCUACCUGGGGUACUCACAUCCAUUGACUGAUCACGGCGGGGCGAUAAAGACCUGACAUUUUUGGCUCACUAGGGGGCAACUCCAGUGGGCCAUAUUGGCUCUGGAGCUCCCUGUGAGUUGCGCUGAGGCCUUCAGACCUGCAUCACAGCUCAACUUAUCCCUCUGUUCAAUUGCUUCCUCCUCCUUGCUUCCACAGGUGUUGAUACCUAAUAAAUAUACUGCAUGUCA